rnacentral:rRNA from 1 species
GGGUUGUGAGGUUAAGCGACUAAGCGUACACGGUGGAUGCCCUGGCAGUCAGAGGCGAUGAAGGAUGUGCUAAUCUGCGAAAAGCGUCGGUAAGGUGAUAUGAACCGUUAUAACCGGCGAUGUCCGAAUGGGGAAACCCAGUGUGAUUCGUCACACUAUCGUUAACUGAAUACAUAGGUUAACGAGGCGAACCGGGGAACUGAAACAUCUAAGUACCCCGAGGAAAAGAAAUCAACCGAGAUUCCCCCAGUAGCGGCGAGCGAACGGGGAGCAGCCCAGAGUCUGAAUCAGCUUGUGUGUUAGUGGAACGGUCUGGAAAGUCCGACGGUACAGGGUGAUAGUCCCGUACACCAAAAUGCACAGGCUGUGAACUCGAAGAGUAGGGCGGGACACGUGGUAUCCUGUCUGAAUAUGGGGGACCAUCCUCCAAGGCUAAAUACUCCUGACUGACCGAUAGUGAACCAGUACCGUGAGGGAAAGGCGAAAAGAACCCCGGCGAGGGGAGUGAAAAAGAACCUGAAACCGUGUACGUACAAGCAGUGGGAGCACCUUCGGGUGUGACUGCGUACCUUUUGUAUAAUGGGUCAGCGACUUAUAUUCUGUAGCAAGGUUAACCGUAUAGGGGAGCCGCAGGGAAACCGAGUCUUAACUGGGCGUUAAGUUGCAGGGUAUAGACCCGAAACCCGGUGAUCUAGCCAUGGGCAGGUUGAAGGUUGGGUAACACUAACUGGAGGACCGAACCGACUAAUGUUGAAAAAUUAGCGGAUGACUUGUGGCUGGGGGUGAAAGGCCAAUCAAACCGGGAGAUAGCUGGUUCUCCCCGAAAGCUAUUUAGGUAGCGCCUCGUGAAUUCAUCUUCGGGGGUAGAGCACUGUUUCGGCUAGGGGGUCAUCCCGACUUACCAACCCGAUGCAAACUACGAAUACCGAAGAAUGUUAUCACGGGAGACACACGGCGGGUGCUAACGUCCGUCGUGAAGAGGGAAACAACCCAGACCGCCAGCUAAGGUCCCAAAGUCAUGGUUAAGUGGGAAACGAUGUGGGAAGGCACAGACAGCCAGGAUGUUGGCUUAGAAGCAGCCAUCAUUUAAAGAAAGCGUAAUAGCUCACUGGUCGAGUCGGCCUGCGCGGAAGAUGUAACGGGGCUAAACCAUGCACCGAAGCUGCGGCAGCGACACUAUGUGUUGUUGGGUAGGGGAGCGUUCUGUAAGCCUGCGAAGGUGACCUGUGAGGGUUGCUGGAGGUAUCAGAAGUGCGAAUGCUGACAUAAGUAACGAUAAAGCGGGUGAAAAGCCCGCUCGCCGGAAGACCAAGGGUUCCUGUCCAACGUUAAUCGGGGCAGGGUGAGUCGACCCCUAAGGCGAGGCCGAAAGGCGUAGUCGAUGGGAAACAGGUUAAUAUUCCUGUACUUGGUGUUACUGCGAAGGGGGACGGAGAAGGCUAUGUUAGCCGGGCGACGGUUGUCCCGGUUUAAGCAUGUAGGCUGAUUGUCCAGGCAAAUCCGGAUAAUCAAGGCUGAGGUGUGAUGACGAGGCACUACGGUGCUGAAGUAACAAAUGCCCUGCUUCCAGGAAAAGCCUCUAAGCAUCAGGUAACAUUAAAUCGUACCCCAAACCGACACAGGUGGUCAGGUAGAGAAUACCAAGGCGCUUGAGAGAACUCGGGUGAAGGAACUAGGCAAAAUGGUGCCGUAACUUCGGGAGAAGGCACGCUGGUGUGUAGGUGAAGUCCCUGCGGAUGGAGCUGAGACCAGUCGAAGAUACCAGCUGGCUGCAACUGUUUAUUAAAAACACAGCACUGUGCAAACACGAAAGUGGACGUAUACGGUGUGACGCCUGCCCGGUGCCGGAAGGUUAAUUGAUGGGGUUAUCCGUAAGGAGAAGCUCUUGAUCGAAGCCCCGGUAAACGGCGGCCGUAACUAUAACGGUCCUAAGGUAGCGAAAUUCCUUGUCGGGUAAGUUCCGACCUGCACGAAUGGCGUAAUGAUGGCCAGGCUGUCUCCACCCGAGACUCAGUGAAAUUGAACUCGCUGUGAAGAUGCAGUGUACCCGCGGCAAGACGGAAAGACCCCGUGAACCUUUACUAUAGCUUGACACUGAACAUUGAGCCUUGAUGUGUAGGAUAGGUGGGAGGCUUUGAAGCGUGGACGCCAGUCUGCGUGGAGCCAACCUUGAAAUACCACCCUUUAAUGUUUGAUGUUCUAACGUUGGCCCCUGACCGGGGUUGCGGACAGUGUCUGGUGGGUAGUUUGACUGGGGCGGUCUCCUCCCAAAGCGUAACGGAGGAGCACGAAGGUUAGCUAAUCCUGGUCGGACAUCAGGAGGUUAGUGCAAUGGCAUAAGCUAGCUUGACUGCGAGCGUGACGGCGCGAGCAGGUGCGAAAGCAGGUCAUAGUGAUCCGGUGGUUCUGAAUGGAAGGGCCAUCGCUCAACGGAUAAAAGGUACUCCGGGGAUAACAGGCUGAUACCGCCCAAGAGUUCAUAUCGACGGCGGUGUUUGGCACCUCGAUGUCGGCUCAUCACAUCCUGGGGCUGAAGUAGGUCCCAAGGGUAUGGCUGUUCGCCAUUUAAAGUGGUACGCGAGCUGGGUUUAGAACGUCGUGAGACAGUUCGGUCCCUAUCUGCCGUGGGCGCUGGAGAAUUGAGGGGGGCUGCUCCUAGUACGAGAGGACCGGAGUGGACGCAUCACUGGUGUUCGGGUUGUCAUGCCAAUGGCACUGCCCGGUAGCUAAAUGCGGAAGAGAUAAGUGCUGAAAGCAUCUAAGCACGAAACUUGCCCCGAGAUGAGUUCUCCCUGAGACUUUAAGUCUCCUGAAGGAACGUUGAAGACGACGACGUUGAUAGGCCGGGUGUGUAAGCGCAGCGAUGCGUUGAGCUAACCGGUACUAAUGAACCGUGAGGCUUAACCUUACAACGCCGAAG